UACGUAGGUGGCAAGCGUUGUCCGGAUUUACUGGGCGUAAAGAGCGCGCAGGCGGUCAGAUAAGUCGAAUGUGAAAGCCCCCGGCUCAACUGGGGAGGGUCAUUCGAUACUGUUCGACUCGAAGGCAGAAGAGAAGAGUGGAAUUCCACGUGUAGCGGUGAAAUGCGUAGAGAUGUGGAGGAACACCAGUGGCGAAGGCG
rnacentral:rRNA from 1 species